AAAUUUACCAUCAACAUGGCUUAUGAUUGGCACUGUAUCCUGGGGUAAUGAAGGGAGGAGAAAACCACAAUGGGCUUUGAAGCAGAUGUCUCGGAGAAUCUAAGGUCUGGUUCUGCAGAGGAAGCCUCUGGCUUGCCUUCUGGGGAGUGUUCAAGAACCAUUUUGAUGAAUUCCAAUUAAGAGUCUUCCUGACACCAGGGGAUGCAGAGGUCAAAGAAUGCAUUUAGCAGCGCAGCAACAGACCACUUGGAGGACAGAUAAAGCUGGCAAAGCAGCCUCAGAAGCAGUCUGUGUGACUGGCCCAAGAUCAACCAGAAAGUUAGUGGUAAGAGAAAUCUGUUCUCCUAAUAUGCCAUUCUUCACCCUAAACUGAAGGCCUGCGCACAGCCACCAAAAUGGCCACAUGAGCAAUAGCACUUCAGUGUACAAGUAUAUUUCAUCGGUCAUUACAACCUGAAUCAGUGUGUGUGUGUGUCUUCCCACAUGUGCUUUUUAAAAAGCACAUCAUUAUCAGAGACUUUAACUAGGAAUCAUUAGCCGAUUGUUGUAUAAUGAAAGAGGAAACAUCUCCCCAAACCAAGCACUUAACACCAAAAAUUUAAUGUAUAUCCAGUACCUAAGUAAAGAUUGAAAAACACCUAACGGCUUGACUGAGAUAAUAUAUCCACUAAACUCUGUUCUCUGCUGUGGGGUAUUAAUUAGGGUUACUCUUAGGAACUCAGGGUCCAAAGUGUAUGAAUUCAGCUGACUGGCUUCCGUAAUACUUUGGCUUUGGCAUUCCUUGGGUAAGGACUAAUCGGGGCUCCCUAGGACGGAGCCCAGCCACAGGAGAGCUGAGAUAGAGGGACGUAUUUGGCUGAAGGAGGGUGGGGGGAGUUUGCCCUUCUGGGCCUGUAAAGAAUUCAUUAAUUUAAGAGAAGCAGGAAAUCAUGCUUAAACUACAAUUGCAUCACUCGCUGCAUAACCGUGAGCGCAUGUCGUGAUGUGUUCCAUCCUGUUCCCACUAAAGUACACCACCUAAUUCAAAAGAUUUUUGUGGGGUGAUUAUUAUCUCAGGAAACCUGUGUUCUUAGACUAACUGUACGUGCUGGAAAACAAAGGGA